UACGAAGGGGGCUAGCGUUGUUCGGAAUCACUGGGCGUAAAGCGCACGUAGGCGGAUCUUUAAGUCAGGGGUGAAAUCCCGAGGCUCAACCUCGGAACUGCCUUUGAUACUGGGGAUCUCGAGUCCGGGAGAGGUGAGUGGAACUGCGAGUGUAGAGGUGAAAAUUCGUAGAUAUUCGCAAGAACACCAGUGGCGAAGGCGGCUCACUGGCCCGGAACUGACGCUGAGGUGCGAAAAGCGUGGGGAGCAAACAGGG
rnacentral:rRNA from 1 species